rnacentral:lncRNA from 1 species
CAAAUGGGUAUUGUUGUGAUGGGUCCAUUCCUCAGCUCAGAUUUCCCCAGCCUCUAGGGCAGUCAGUGUGUCAGGGACUGUCCAAGGUUCCAGACGUGCUGUAUCAGCUCAACAGCCUUUGAUACAAGGCUACAGCUGGAGCCCUCAAAAUCUUCCCCUGUGUAAGUAUCUGCAUCCUCACCUCAGGACAAGUCGUGGAGGCUGCAUGGGAUUGGAAGGUGCCAGCGGUGACAGGGCCAGGGUCAAAGGCGAUCGGCCUGACAAAAAGUCACUGACCUGCAGAGAGACGUGGGGGACCUCAUCAGCCAAAGGGGCUCUCGUCGACGAUGCCCCCAGCCCAACCCAGCCCAGCUCUCCCCCACAGUGUGUGACCUGGGGCCUCUCGCCGCCCCUCUCUGGGCUCUGGGGUCCCUGUCGGUGCCACGGACGCUUAAAUAAAAUCAAUCUGUAUUUCCGGAA